UGUGGGGGGUGUAGGGGGCGCUGAGGGGGGGCAGCAACCCGGGCAAGGGAAGGUCGACCUCUGGAAGUGGAACGCGGGUCUCCACGCAGAUUCCUGUCCAGUGACUGUGGAACGCUGUGGAGGAGACAGAUAUUUGUCAGCGAAACUGAGUUAGGAAAGGAUGAAGAGAGCUGAGGAAAUCAGUCACGCAUGCUAACGUAGAGGCUGCAAAUAGAGAACAGUCUGCAAAAACUUGACAAUCACAUAAAGCAUGCUUUCUGGGAAUGGCACCAAGAUACUAACUAAUAUCCAGCCCUAAAUAUGAAUACGCCAG